AUGGUGGUGGCAUGGGUCGGCUCAUGGCGGCGGUGUUGCGUCGGCGUGGUUCAGCUCAUGGUGGUGUACAGGUCGUGGCGCAGCGGCGGCUGGGCUCUCCGGCAUCGGCUCGUCUGCGUGCGGCCCUUGGGGAUGUUGUUGGUCUCUCUCGUGGAUGCAGGUUGUGGCCGGUCCGGCUCCUCGCGUCGUUGA
rnacentral:rRNA from 1 species